rnacentral:rRNA from 1 species
CCUACGGGAGGCAGCAGUGGGGGAUAUUGCACAAUGGGGGAAACCCUGAUGCAGCGACGCCGCGUGGGUGAAGAAGCGCCUCGGCGCGUAAAGCCCUUUCAGCAGGGAAGAAAAUGACGGUAUCUGAAGAAUAAGCACCGGCUAACUACGUGCCAGCAGCCGCGGUAAUACGUAGGGGGCAAGCGUUACCCGGAUUUACUGGGUGUAAAGAGGGCGCAGACGGCAUUGCAAGCCAGGAGUGAAAGCCCGGGGCCCAACCCCGGGACUGCUUUUGAAACUGUGUGGCUAGAGUGGGGGAGGGGCAGGCGGAAUUCUUGGUGUAGGGGUAAAAUGCGUAGAUAUCAGGAGGAACACCGGUGGCGAAGGCGACCUGCUAGACUGCAACUGACGUUGAGGCCCGAAAGCGUGGGGAGCAAACAGGAUUAGAUACCCCGGUAGUC